UACAGAGGUCCCGAGCGUUGUUCGGCUUCAUUGGGCGUAAAGGGUGCGUAGGCGGCGGGGCAAGUCUGAUGUGAAAUCCCGGGGCUCAACCCCGGAACUGCAUUGGAUACUGCCUUGCUUGAGUACUGGAGAGGGAACUGGAAUUUACGGUGUAGCAGUGAAAUGCGUAGAGAUCGUAAGGAAGGCCAGUGGCGAAGGCGAGUUCCUGGACAGUUACUGACGCUGAGGCACGAAGGCCAGGGGAGCAAACGGG
rnacentral:rRNA from 1 species